rnacentral:lncRNA from 1 species
CUCUCUCCUAUCCCUCUCUCUCUUUAAAAAAAAAUAGGAACAUGUUCUAAGAAGUAUUGCUGAAGUAUAGAAAUAUUUUUCCCAUCGAAACAUCUUAUUUGUACACCAGGACUAUUUUCUUCUUCCUAACUUAUGAAACUUCAAAGAGAAUAUCAAAUUGCAGGUGGUGGAUAUAAGUGAAGUAUCAGAUAGUGUCUUAUAUGUUGCUCACCACGACUUUGAGAUGGUGGAAUGAGGUACAAGUAAGUGACCCUAGAAUGCUUUAUGGACAGUGUAUGACUCACUCCAAGGCACCUUGCCAUAUAUCAACAGUUAUUAGGAUAGACACAGCCUGAGAUUCUGGUGGUUCCCUUGUUUUAUUGCCACUGUAUCCCCGUAAGCAAAAUCUGGGAAACAACUUGGGAACUACUCCAGGAACAUGUGGCAUCUCAGCUAUGUCUGCUGGUGGGCACAUACAGGUACUUCUUUCAGGUGCCAGUUUUUCUGUUGGACUGAGAGCUUCUUAGAAGAACCCCAAGAGAUGAGGAGAAGCAUCCAGUACAAACUGACUUGUGAGGAGGGUGAAGAAAACUACUUGUGUGUUCUGGAAGUUUUAGUAUGACAUGGUUCCAAGCAGAUACAUUUAUGACUCCCUUAUGUAAAAAAGGAUCAGAGAUGAGGGGAUGUUGUUAUAAAACAUUGGUAUCUUCAUGGACAAAUAGGAAAGACAAAUAUUUACAUCUCUCUUAUCACAAACUCCCUUUAGCUAUAGUUAAACAUACUGGGUAGGUUAAAAGCUCAUCACUGGAGUAUAUUUAAUCAGCAAAUGGUAAAUGAAUAAAAUUCAUUUUCCACUUGGUUUAUAUUUCACAUGGGAAUGCUUCUACCAGCUUGUGAGACCAUUUACAUUGGUAGUUGUAUUUUUUGGUUGCCUUGCCCCUCCUCUGUGCGUUCAUAAGUGUAAGCACUUUGAA